rnacentral:tRNA from 1 species
GAGGGUGUAGCUCAGUGGUAGAGCAUGUGCUUGGUAUGCACGAGGUCCCGAGUUCAAUCCCCAGUACCUCCA